UUAAAGACCUAGUAAUAGGUAUGCUUUAGGAGGGGCUUGCGCCAUAUUAGUUAGUUGGUAGGGUAAUGGCCUACCAAGACGAUGAUGUGUAGCUGGACUGAGAGGUUGAACAGCCACAUUGGGACUGAGACACGGCCCAAACUCCUACGGGAGGCAGCAGUAGGGAAUUUUCGGCAAUGGAGGAAACUCUGACCGAGCAACGCCGCGUGAAUGACGAAGUACUUCGGUAUGUAAAGUUCUUUUAUCAAGGAAGAAAAGCAAAUGGCGAACCAUUUGUUUGCCGGUACUUGAUGAAUAAGCCCCGGCUAAUUAUGUGCCAGCAGCCGCGGUAAGACAUAAGGGGCAAGUGUUAUCCGGAAUUAUUGGGCGUAAAGGGUGCGUAGGCGGUCUAGUAAGUCAGUGGUGUAAUGGCAACGCUUAACGUUGUCCGGCUAUUGAAACUGCUAAACUUGAGUUAGAUAGAGGCGAGUGGAAUUCCAUGUGUAGCGGUAAAAUGCGUAAAUAUAUGGAGGAACACCAGAGGCGUAGGCGGCUCGCUGGGUCUUAACUGACGCUGAGGCACGAAAGCGUGGGGAGCAAACAGGAUUAGAUACCCUGGUAGUCCACGCCGUAAACGAUGAGUACUAAGUGUCGGGUUAAACCGGUACUGAAGUUAACACAUUAAGUACUCCGCCUGAGUAGUACGUACGCAAGUAUGAAACUUAAAGGAAUUGACGGGACUCCGCACAAGCGGUGGAUCAUGUUGUUUAAUUCGAAGAUACCCGAAAAACCUUACCAGGUCUUGACAUGUUUUUGCAAAAUGAUAGUAAUAUCGUGGAGGUUACCAGAAACACAGGUGGUGCAUGGUUGUCGUCAGCUCGUGUCGUGAGAUGUUAGGUUAAGUCCUAAAACGAGCGAAACCCUUAUCGUUAGUUGCCAGCACGUUAUGGUGGGGACUUUAACGAGACUGCCAAUGAUAAAUUGGAGGAAGGUGAGGAUCACGUCAAAUCAGCAUGCCCCUUAUGACCUGGGCUACAAACGUGAUACAAUGGCUGUUACAAAGGGUAGCUGAAACGCAAGUUCUUGGCCAAUCCCCAAAAACAGUCCCAGUCCGGAUUGAAGUCUGCAACUCGACUUCAUGAAGUUGGAAUCGCUAGUAAUCGCGAAUCA
rnacentral:rRNA from 1 species